AGUCCAGCUGAUCUUGUUUUAGAAUGAAACCGUCUCCAGGAUGUCCACCGAAGACCAGGACACAGAUCAAAGGAUUUUCUGUCACCUUCUAUUCAGUCACUUUAAAAGACAUAAACUGGGGAUUUGCCAAAAAGAUGCCCAAAGAAAGACAUUUCCUCUCCUUGAAACCCUCCAUGACUGGGGGUUCAUCAGCGACAACCUGUAUGAAGAUUGUCAAGAAUCGUGUAGAAACCUGGUUCCUGUACAAAGAGUGGUGUACAAUGUCCUCCAUGAACUGGAGAAGAAAGCUGAUGGGAGAUUUCUAGAAGCAUUGUUCAGCGAGAACAACAUGAAGGAGUACCCAGACUUACGCUAUGUUUUUGA